rnacentral:misc_RNA from 1 species
UUUAUGUUGGUUCCCAAGACAAUUGCGUCAAGCAAUUAGGAAUAUGAAUCUAUAUAUGCAGAAAAAACAGAAAGCAACAAUCACUUAUCAUCUUAUACGAAAUCAACUAGGAACUGACCUCAGUAUAUGUUGUAUUCACAUGGCACAAGUUUCUUUCUUAGCUUCUUCCUGCGUCAAAAUCUUUUUGAGAGCAGAAGAAAAGUAGACUGAACUGUCCUCCAUAGAAAGCAUUUCUCCUGAACGGCUGACCAUGGAAAGCAAUUAAACACCCAUAAAUUGGAACUGCCCAAAAAAUUUGAUCCUUUAUACCUCUUAAAUGAAAAUUUACACCUAAAUUCGCAAAAACACCAUAUGAUGCCAUUGCUAGGCAAUCCAUGCUGUGAAAAUAUCAUAUCAAUCAAAAGGCUGCUUCAUCAUUACUACUGACUUUAUAAGAGAACAAAGGCAUAAAGUCUUGUAUUUACAAUGGAAAGAAACAUCUUUGUUAGAAUCCACAGGUACCAGGAUGCCAUCUCUGAAAAUAAAUUCCAGUUCAAGCCCGAACUGUGAAUUUGGCGAGUUACUUCCUUUUUCAGUUAAACAUCCAUCCACUGAGUGGCAACUACAUUCCGUUGCCAAAGCUAAACUAUUUCCUGAACUUUUGCAAUGACAAUUACGCAGUUCUGGACAUUCAGACAAUCUUUCAGCAUUACCACAUCUCAGGUUCUCAUCAAAUGAAUUGUUGAUAUUUUCAGCCAUAUCAACUUUCCUAACUGCUGAAAGAAGAUCUACAGACAAUGAUGAAACAAUAUCAUGAACAUCCUCUGCCACCCAAUAGCUAUUGUUUAAUCCCCAUUCCCGAACAAGAAUUUUCUGAAUCAGUCCAUGGAGGGUGCAUAGGCAUCCAGAACAACAAAUAUAUGAACACACAACACCAGAAUCAGCAGAAUGACUGGUAUUAGUAUAUUUGCCAGGAGAUAAGUUGACAUUCCCAAUAUGGUCACUGAAGUCAGGCAGAGCAUCCUCACAUCUAAUUGCACCCUCCAUUGCAGCCAAUCUAUUGACCUGGUCACUGGAUAUUAAGGAGCCAGAGAAUUUAUCAGCACAUGGUUUACCUGAAUUAAAGAGACCAUUCUCAGAGGGAAGAACAGCUUCUGUAACCACAAAUCCAUUAGAAUGUUUUGAUGACCCAUUGUCCAAUCCAGUAACAACUGCAAGAGUUUCAGUAUUUUCUGGCUCACACUGUCCAAGAGCAGUCUCAUUCUGCUCAUCUGUAUCAUUAUCAACCAACUGGUUAUCAGAUGUAGAACUUUGAAGCUGCUUAUCUGAGUUGUUAUGGCCACAAAGGACAAUCCGCUGUGCGGAUAUGUCUUCUGAGAGAACAUCUAUCACCUCAGAGCUAGAAUGACAAAAACCAUUGUCUCCUUUGUUCAAUUCAACACCUUCAUUUUCAGGAACAAAUUCCAUAGGACUUCCUGCCAGGCAUUCAGAUUCAUGGGAGCUUUUAUUUGGUAAGCCUUCCUUGCAUUCUUCACUUUGAGCUAAAUGAUCCUCACAAGAAUGGUUACCUAGAAAUUCCACGAUACUUUGCCUAGCAUUCGCCACAGUGAUU